GCCCAGGAGGGGUCACUGCGGGCACUGUGGGCACCGCCCGGGCGAGCUCCAGCAGCCGGGCCCCGGACCGGCUGCCGUGACCGUCGGGGGGAGCUGCCCUGGGCUACACCUCCCUCCCUGCCCUUCCCGGCAAAGAUGAACUUGCUAGGCCCACCCUAAUGCUCUGGGGUUGUCUCCUGCCUGAUGGACUGCCACCAAAGCUCUAAAGCCCUCUCACACAAAGGCGCCACGGGACUCCCACCCUCGACAUGAGCGCUCUGCCUGCCUCUGGCGCUGCCUGUCAGACCCGCUUCAGCUGGAAUCAAGUCCCUUCACUGCCUGGAAGGAGGAAAGAAAAUGAAGAGGAGAACAAAUAUUCCUUGCUUUCCUGAGGCUGGUAAUCCAGGCAGUUGCAGUCUCAACCUCUUAUAGCUCAGUUUUCCCAGUAGCUUUAGGAAUAUUUUCUGCAGGCUUGGCUCUCCAAUGUCAGAGCUGCCAGAGGACCAUGGCAGAUUAGUUGGUAACCGGCAAUCUCUCAUAAUUUAUUCCAGGAUCUUUAAAUUUCUGCGUGAUUUUCCCAUAAAAGACAGUUUCUCUAGAGCACGUUAGAUGGAAAAUAUUUUGCAAGAUCAUUAGAAGAAUUUCCAUUAAAAAUCUGUUUGAGGGAGCUCCUUCCUGAUUCUGAAAAUGAAGUUGUAAAGGAGCAGUCUUUUUUUUAAGUUGUAUUUGUACUGGGAAUUCUCAGAAAUCCCAGCCAAGAAUUAUUGUAGCAUUGUACAAAGCUGAAAUUCCCUGUAGCUCUAUGUUUAUCACUUGCUAAGACCCCAUGACAGCAUAUGCUUUUGUAGUCACAUAUUUACUCUCUGUGACUGCAAAAUUUGCUGUCUAGUUGAGUGAAAUCACCUGUCUUUAGUCAUUCUGGUCAAACUUGAAAAACGGAAUUAUUUAUUAUUUCUCAAAUACUUCUGUUUCCUCUUGAUUUUCUUAAUUUUUACUUGCUCGAUUAAGUACCAUGUCCUCCUGUGAAUCUUGGAUAGAAAUAUGCUUGAAUGUUUUGCUGAUGUAAGUUCCAGGAUUAGAUCCAUCACAAAAAAUUUUGGGUUCUUUUGAAAAAUAUGAGAUUUUAAUUGUUCUUAAUUUUUCAGCAUAGGAGUCCAUCACUGUAAUCCACACUUUAAGAAUGACCGAAUGAUUUAACUGUAUGGUAGUUCCCCUUGGAUAUAUAUUGUAUUUAAAGGUUGAAGUAAGGCUUGAUGAAAGUAUUUGCCUUUAGCUGUUCAUUGCUUCUUUAUCUAUUGCUUCAGCUGUGAAAAGCUUUUUUAUUUGGUUGAGGCUUGUUUGUUUCUCACUGCUAAACUUUUCUAACAUUUUAAAAUUUGGCUUUACAUGCAGGUUUGAAUUUUCACUUCUCUUUGGAGUAUUUUACAUGCUAAAAUGCUUUCUGUAAAACACAGCUGUAAAAAAAAAAAAAAAGUGAAGUAAAUCUAUACUUUAUGUCUUCUUGAAACUUUAUUCUCUUUAAAAAGGGUUUAUGUAAUUUUACAUAAUUCUUUUGGCAGGAAUGUUUAUUGCCCAGCUGGUUGAAAUUAUUAAUGUACCUCUCAAGCUGCAUUUUCAAAGAUCAGUAAUAUAUAUAUAAACUUUUUGGAGGGUCCUUGAUAUGUAGGAUUUUUAUUGGAGAUCCUUGUUCCACUUCAGUAAAAGGAUGACACAAGAUGUUCACUUUAAAAAGUCUUUGACAUCCUCCUGAGAAUGUUUUGAUAGAAUGGCAUACAUUUGGUUACAAUUAGUAAGCCAAACAAUUUUCCAUUGUUAUCUCACUGUGUUUGUCUAGACCCUGUAAGGAGCUUUCAGAAAAUAUCCAUCUCCAUGUUUCAGUUAAUUGAUUGCAUGUCCAGCAGGAUUAUUCUAUUUUAUAAAGCUCCUUUUCCUUUUAAUUUUAUCACAGAGAUUUUACACAAAGGCAUGUGGUAGAAAGCAAAAGGGAAAUACUGGCACAGUUAAGCAUAAAGAGAUAUUGUACUUGUAUCAGGUCUAAUAGUCCUGUGUGUGGGAAAAAAUAUCUAUGUGUUCCUGCUACUUCUGUGUGCAAGAUGUUAUACCCGAGGGCUGAAAGUAAUAGUAGCUGGUGUGAAAGUAUUCACCAAUAUCAAGUGCAGAUGAAAGCCUUUGGAGCCAGCUGAAAGCUGAGUUAAUAAUUCUUCGGCUUAAUAUUUGAACUUGCACUCUGUCUGGAAUAAUAAAUGAUGGGUGACUUAAUUUUAUUUUAAUUCUAUUAGCAGUGUGAUUAAAAGACUCAAAUCCUUAUCUGAAAUCUUUGCUGUUGUGUUUUGGUUAUUUGCCGUAUAAUCUAGAGUAUCAUCUUUCCUUUUGUAUGAUAGCUGAAAUACAUCUUUCUCUUGACUGUCUUACUUUCUAUUUAGAAACUGCUAAGUCUCAGCCAAAAUCAUUGUCUGUCUGUUUGGGCAGUAAAAACACCUUGCUACGUGCAUCCCAUAUUGCUUGCAGUUGAUUGGAGGUUACAUGAUUAAGCUGGCUGUAAUGUGAAUUAGUGUCUAUGUCACAGAAAUUCCCCGUGCAAUUAUCACCCCUCGGAAAUGCUGCAGUGCCAGGUUUAGGCCUGAUAACAAGAACUGGUGCUUCUGUGCCUCCUUUAAUCAUCCUCUUUUGUUUACACUCUUUUUGAGAAGCCACUGAUCACAACUCCUGUAACAGUAGGUACACGCUGGCAGCAGAGGAAUGCAGAGCUUGUUGUGCUAUUCUGCUUCAUAAACCUGUGUCCUUGAAGUCUCCUGCAUCCCUACCCUGUCAGACUGAUUUAUGCAGUAGCCAUGUUUGUCAAAGUAUUUGGCACCAAUGACAUCAUCUCUGUUGAAAUGCUGGACAGCGUGAUGAGUCCCAGAUGUUAAUGCACACCAAAAGCUGAGAAAGAAUGAAAUAUAAAGAUCAACUGUAACAGCUAUGGAGGUCUGUACUCAGUUUACAUCUGAUGUUCAUACAUGAAGAAUCUGGGAUUUUUUCAAGGGUUCCUAAAGCUGUUGAGACUUACAGGCAACCCUGUGGUUACUGUUAAGGCCAACAGAGCUGAACACAUCUUGCAGAAGCUGGAGUUUCUUUCAUGAGAAAUGAAUCCUGAGAUGUGAGAGAAAAUAAAGUAAGGUAUUCAUG